AGUCAGAAGGUUGGCUCGGCACAGCGCUGGGAUGUGUGGAAGUCAGAGAAGCAUGUGAAGAGACAGGUACAGCAGUUCAGCAAGAGCUAUGAGAAUCAGAGGGAAAACCGCCUUCCCCCACGCAGGUCUCUGUGGCUGGUGACCAUCUUCCCAGUGAACACACAGACAGAACUCACAGCACAGUGCCCAGGCGAGGAGAGGAGACCAAUAGCAUCCACCUUCCUCCACUUCCUACGGUCACUUGUUCCUGUGCUGCUACCAUUCUGUGUGGUUGUCGUGGGACUGCCAAUCACAAUGUCUCGCCCCAUCUUUC
ensembl:lncRNA